CACCGUGACUGUUUCUACAUGUGAUUGUUUCUACAGAUGUGUCUCUAUAUGUUUCUGUAUCCUUGAAGAAGUCUUUGUAUUACCGAACAUUCAGAGGGGAGUUUCUCUCUUCGGGGAUCAGGGAACGAGAAAGACUGAACACCUGAACUCGGAUGUUCCUGUAUGAAAUUGGACUCCAAAUGGCAGUAAAAACCGAGAAGUCCAGUUUCAGAGCUGAAGGGUGAAGCAGAAGCACAAAGGAGUGAAAUCCUGGAAAAAGACACCGUGAGGAGCGUCUCUGAUAUGCUUGUGUAUGAAGCGUGUUUGUUGGCUUGUGGGUGACAGUAAAAGACUCGCUGAACUCUCGCUCUUUUCAUUCUACUUUAAUUAUCAGGCUCAGAUAUCCACUCUUCUGAUUACAGUGUUUCCUUUAACAUGACAAAGCAGCAGAGAAUCAUGUGAUCUGACAGAAUCCACAUUCAGACCUUCUGAAGGCUUCAGAUUUAUCUUGAUCAGACACAACGUGUGUCUGAGUGUGUGUGUGUGUGUGAAUGUGUACCAUACCCUAACCCUAAUCUAUUAACACUAAUACUGCAAUAAAUUAUGUUCCUCCUCAGUA